GUGGUUGCUUCAGCAGCACAUAUACUAAAAUUGGAAUGAUACAGAGAAGAUUAGCACGGCCCCUGUGCAAGGAUGACACGCAAAUUCGUGAAUGGGUUCCAUAUUUUU
ensembl:snRNA U6 U6 spliceosomal RNA